CUACGGGCGGCAGCAGUGGGGAAUAUUGCGCAAUGGGCGAAAGCCUGACGCAGCAACGCCGUGUGGGGGAUGAAGGUCUUCGGAUUGUAAACCUCUGUCAGGAGGGAAGAAAUGAUAUUUGUCCAAUAGGCAGAUAUUUUGACGGUACCUCCAGAGGAAGCACCGGCUAACUCCGUGCCAGCAGGCCGCGGUAAUACGGAGGGUGCAAGCGUUAUUCGGAAUCACUGGGCGUAAAGCGUACGUAGGCUGUCUGGUAAGUCAGAUGUGAAAGCCCACGGCUCAACCGUGGAAUUGCAUUUGAAACUGCUGGACUGGAAUCCGGGAGAGGGUGGCGGAAUUCCUGGUGUAGGAGUGAAAUCCGUAGAUAUCAGGAGGAACACCGGUGGCGAAGGCGGCCACCUGGUCCGGUAUUGACGCUGAGGUACGAAAGCGUGGGUAGCAAACAGGAUUAGAUACCCUUGUAGUC
rnacentral:rRNA from 1 species